AAAAACGUCUCACUCGCACAUGUUUAUAUUGAAAAUAUCCAAUAACAUGUAAACAAAUAUAUCGACAAUAAAUUCGGAGCAAUAGUUCAUUAAUAACAUCUUCAACCAAUAACUAAAGUUAAAUUGACCGUUUAUUUAUGAUAUUUUCACUCAUUAAUAAAAAUUAGCCUACUGAACUAAAUGAACUAAACGAACUAAUCUUUUGUACUAUUCACUUUGCUGACCGAGAUUGAAAGAUGGAAAUCAGCAAGGUGAACUAAACUUCCCAGGUCUAGUACAGUCUCAUCAGACGUUUGAAGCAGUUCAAAGUGAACCUAUGCCCACUUGCACCAAACUUCUUCUAAGCACGUCCUUACCUAAGUAUACCUUAAAAUUUAAGUCCGACUUAAAAUUCAAUGAGUUGCACCAUCCGUUUUCCACGUGUUCUUAGCUAAGCAUCAGGCAAUACCCGGCAACUCUGUAUUUUUCGUUCUGUUCUGUACGUCCUGGUUGGUUCACAUCUGUUGUUUCUAACCAAAUUCGUGAUCUUUUUUAAAUUUUGUUUUACUAAUGGCUGCAAAACAGAAACGGUCUCCUAACUUCAGCGCUUCUGAAAGAGAUACUCUUUUAGAGCUCGUCGCAAAGAUGUAAUCGAAAAUAAAAAAACAGAUGCAGUGUCUACGCAGGAAAAGCAGUCCACAUGGGAAAAAAUAACUGGCGAAUUUAAUGCUAUUUGUCCAGCAACAAUUCCGCGUACAACCGCAACAAUCAGGAAAUUUUAUAACAAUCAAAAAGAAGACAUCCGGAAGCGCAUUGCCAAUCAGAAGAAGGAACUUUAUCAAACUGGUGGCGGAGGAGUUGUGUCUUCGGUUCAAAGGAGCAAUGCAGAUAGAAUAUUAUUAUCUAUUGUUAGUAAUAAGACUUUGUAUGGCGUGGAUAAUUCGCUUGCUCCUUUUGAUGAUGAUUGGGUACCGCCAAACGAAAUUCCACCAUCUCUCAUUGCAGACAUACCAGGUCCUUCUAGAAGUGAGCCUAUUAAUAUGUCUUUUUCCCAAUUAAUCAGAAAGGGCGUUGAUGAAACGCUGAAAUUCAAAUUUCAUGAGGUAAGUAGGUACUUAUUUUUUUACAAUAGGGCAUUAUGAUUACACAUGUAUAGAUGUAUGCUGUAUCUUUAUUUUAAUUAAACCUCUUCUAAAUUAUCACAGAAUCAAGAGGAAUCAACAAUAGACAAUAUUGAACUAGUUUAUGAGAAAGAUGACAAUAUUGAAAAUGCACUUCCUGUAAAUGAGGUCCCUUCACCGUUUUCGCCCUACAGCAAACCCUACAGCAAACCCUAAAAUGGCACUGAAAAGACAUAUAGAAAGCAGGGUAGCGAACCAAGUGCCAAACGUAAACUGGACAAUUCACGACGAAGACCAGUUGUCAUAAAAACUUUGACAACGUCAUCACUUGCAGAAAAGUAUGAACAAUUGGUUGACAAAAAGUUGGAGUUAUUGAAAGGUUUACAGGUGCUCAGAAUUAGGUGCUCAGAAUUAGCAGAUCGCAAGAUCUCCGAAAAGUAUAAGCAAGCCCGCAUUAUCGUAAGUAGUAGUAGUAAGUAAUUAACGUAAGUAAUGACCAUUCACCACCGCUAGCUUCAAAUCCGUAACAUGCACCAACCACCCCGUUGCACACCUCUUCUCCCCUUUUUAGUUUAAUUCUGUAUCGAUUGUAUUUAUUAAUUAAUUUCAAUAUCAUUUGCAAGUCUUAUUUUAUUAAACGCCAGUCCGGACAAACAUGUGUAAUAAAUACCAAAGCGCCUACAAAUAGCCUCGUUAUCUUGUCGACGAAUUCUCGUAAACAACCAUUUACCUGUUCUUAAGGUUUGGUUAUAUUAAUGUUAAGCAGCAAUAUUCCCGUUUAAGGGCGUUCAGCUAAUAGAAGCCUUAAUAUUGUUUCAAUUUUUGAUUAACUUAGCAUGCAAUUUUUGAUUAUCUUAGCAAUUAUUAACGAUUAGCGAGUAGGGAUUUUGGCUAUACGGGGCGUUGUUUAUUUUGUUUAUGUUAUU